CGGCCCCGAAGCAGUCGACAGCCCCCUUCACCUUCCAAAGAGCGCCGUGGGCAACAGCAGCUCCUCUGGGGCUCGGGGUGGGGCUCCGGGGAAGGGAGGCCCUACGGGGAGAAGCCCAGCGGCCGGGCGUGUGUAAAGCAGACUCCGCCAACAGCUGACAAGGCCUCCAGAGGAGAGCGCCCCACGAGGCCAUCCGCAAAGCCCCAGCACAACAUCGGCUUCCUGAAGUGAGCGGAAUAGCACACGAUGUACGGGCAGCACGGACAGUGGGAGGUGGCCCUGUGAGGCUCUGGCUCCCAAAAGGAGAGGAGGGUGGCGCUCCGGGGACCGAGGAAGCGCACUGGAAACGGGUGCCACGGAGGACAGACACGGGCACCACGGAAGCCAGGGCUGCUGCUGCCGGGCUCCUCCCUGGGGCAGAGUCCACACACCCCAGACAGCUUUGGAGGUGAAACCCUGGGAGGCUGAGGGAGUGUCUGCGGGAGCUGGGGGGGGCCUCGAGGCGGGGCACCGUGAGAAGGCACCGCCUGGCUGCCCUCAGGACCACCUUGUGGGAGUGUCAGAGGCGUUAGGUGACUGGUGCCUGGGAGAGGCCGGGACAGCACCUCGCAUUCAGUGUUGAGUUGUGGGUUGGAGACUGGAGCCACUGCGUCCUGAGUGUGACAGCGAGUCUUCAUUGUCAACGUGACUGGCGGGAGAGCCAGCAGAAGGCUGGUAAAGCUCGCUCUGCGGGUGUCUGGUGGGUCAGGUGUGACCUUGGGGAGCAGAUCUGGUUCUUGGCCUCCUCCUCUCUGGGUAUUCUCUGCUGUCUCUGCUUCCUGGUCACCAGGAGGCGAGCAGAUUCCUUCCCCAGGCCUCCCGUCCUUAGCACUCCUGCCUUGGAGCCAGCCAUGGACUGAGUCCUCUGGAACCGUGAGCCAAUGUGAACCUCUCCUCCUUUAUGUUACAGCGGUCGCAUGUUCUGGCCCCAGCGUUGCUCAGCUCCAGCGAUUCAUUUCCUUUGGGAAGGUGAGGCUUCGCCACAGAAGCAUGGCUGCUUCGAGGGACGCUGGGAGCGAGGCCCAUCCGCCUACUCACUCAGAGAGAAGCCCUCACCCGCAAGGCUAAACAUCGCAUGAUGUCUGUGUGUAGAAACCCAGAGUAAAGCGUCAACCAAAGAGCAAAGUGAACGAGAAGUCAGCACUGCCACCCCUGCCUGGACGCAUACCCUCGCUCUGGAGGAGCUCACGGUGUGGAUUCCAGCUGACGACCCUAAACACUGUGGAGUUUGACUCGGAGCCUGCGCUGCGCUUCUGUGCCCAUGUGCGCGUGUGCCUCUGUGUCCAUGCACUGUCUUCGCCCCUCACUCUGCUCCUGCACCGCCUGCCCGCACAGACGUGGGUCUCUGGCCUUCUCCUUCUGCACCGCGCUUUCCUGUUGGGCGCCCUGAUGCAUCUCCCACGCUGCGGCCCCUCCUUGAGCUGCAGGGGCUCAGGCAGGGCAGGGGGUUAGAAUUCCUCUUUCCUCUGCACACCAUUUCCACUGCUGCACAAAUCCCCCGUCAGCCUAAGGAUGCUCCCUGUCUUUCAGUGGAAUAAUUCAUGUACAAACUGCUGUAUUUAACCUUUUUGUCUUAUACUUUGAUUGCCUGAGAUCCUCCUGCCUCAGCUUCCAGUGUGCUCGGAUUCCCAGCAUGCACC
ensembl:lncRNA